GAUGAACGCUGGCGGCGUGCCUAAUACAUGCAAGUCGAGCGAACAGACGAGGAGCUUGCUCCUCUGACGUUAGCGGCGGACGGGUGAGUAACACGUGGAUAACCUACCUAUAAGACUGGGAUAACUUCGGGAAACCGGAGCUAAUACCGGAUAAUAUAUUGAACCGCAUGGUUCAAUAGUGAAAGACGGUUUUGCUGUCACUUAUAGAUGGAUCCGCGCCGCAUUAGCUAGUUGGUAAGGUAACGGCUUACCAAGGCGACGAUGCGUAGCCGACCUGAGAGGGUGAUCGGCCACACUGGAACUGAGACACGGUCCAGACUCCUACGGGAGGCAGCAGUAAGGAAUCUACCGCAAUGGGCGAAAGCCUGACGGAGCAACGCCGCGUGAGUGAUGAAGGUCUUCGGAUCGUAAAACUCUGUUAUUAGGGAAGAACAAAUGUGUAAGUAACUAUGCACGUCUUGACGGUACCUAAUCAGAAAGCCACGGCUAACUACGUG
rnacentral:rRNA from 1 species